rnacentral:rRNA from 1 species
CCUACGGGAGGCAGCAGUGGGGAAUAUUGCGCAAUGGGCGAAAGCCUGACGCAGCGACGCCGCGUGAGGGAUGAAGGUCUUCGGAUCGUAAACCUCUGUCAGCAGGGAAGAACGGUCACUGUGCUAAUCAGCAGUGAAUUGACGGUACCUGCAAAGGAAGCACCGGCUAACUCCGUGCCAGCAGCCGCGGUAAUACGGAGGGUGCGAGCGUUAAUCGGAAUUACUGGGCGUAAAGCGCUCGUAGGCGGUAUGUCAAGUCAAGGGUGAAAUCCCCGCGCUCAACGUGGGAACUGCCUUUGAAAACGGACAACUGGAGGUUGGUGGAGGAUAGGGGAAUUCCAGGUGUAGGAGUGAAAUCCGGAGAUAUUCGGGAGAACAACAGGGGCGAAGG